GACGAACGCUGGCGGCGUGCCUAAUACAUGCAAGUAGAACGCUGAAGGAGGAGCUUGCUUCUCUGGAUGAGUUGCGAACGGGUGAGUGACGCGUAGGUAACCUGCCUGGUAGCGGGGGAUAACUAUUGGAAACGAUAGCUAAUACCGCAUAAUAGCAGUUGUUGCAUGACAACUGUUUGAAAGGUGCAAUUGCACCACUACCAGAUGGACCUGCGUUGUAUUAGCUAGUUGGUGGGGUAACGGCUCACCAAGGCGACGAUACAUAGCCGACCUGAGAGGGUGAUCGGCCACACUGGGACUGAGACACGGCCCAGACUCCUACGGGAGGCAGCAGUAGGGAAUCUUCGGCAAUGGACGGAAGUCUGACCGAGCAACGCCGCGGGAGUGAAGAAGGUUUUCGGAUCGUAAAGCUCUGUUGUAAGAGAAGAACGAGUGUGAGAGUGGAAAGUUCACACUGUGACGGUAUCUUACCAGAAAGGGACGGCUAACUACGUG
rnacentral:rRNA from 1 species